rnacentral:lncRNA from 1 species
CCAUCUCUCUCUUAAUCUCACUCUUUCUCAUUAUUAUUUUAAAACUUUUUAUUAAAGAGAGAGAUUGAAAUUAAGAGAAAGAUAAAGAGAAUUGAGAGAGAUGGAGAGUGAAGAAGAUGAUCCAAUUACUUAAAAAAAAGAGGAUAUAAUUUUUCUAUACAAACUUUUUUCUUUUAAUUUCAUAAUUUAGAGGCUUGUUACUUGUUAGCAUUCUCCAUCUUAAUAUCACUAUUAAUUAAAUCAAUUAACUAAAGAAAGUACAUAAAUUUAUAAUUCAUACUUAGCAACUAUGAUUUAAUUGCAAUCAAUUAAGUUCAUCAAACCUAAAGAAAAAUGAAGCAUUCCAAUGACACAAGUGGAUUUUCCAGUGACUCAUCAUUUGUUGUUGAUGGCCAUUUACUCUCCAUUGUUGAAUUCUCCAUUUUCCGGCCAUCAUUUUC